rnacentral:lncRNA from 1 species
GAAAAAGUGACCUUACUCGUGCUUUCCAACUUCAAGACCACAGAAAAUCAGGCUCAUUCUACUCUAGUUGAAACUCUGUACAGAUACAGAUCUGACCUGGAAAUCAUAUUUAAUGCCAUUGACACUGAUCACUCAGGCCUGAUCUCCGUGGAAGAAUUUCGUGCCAUGUGGAAACUUUUUAGUUCUCACUACAAUGUUCACAUUGAUGAUUCCCAAGUCAAUAAGCUUGCCAACAUAAUGGACUUGAACAAAGAUGGAAGCAUUGACUUUAAUGAGUUUUUAAAGGCUUUCUAUGUAGUGCAUAGAUAUGAAGACUUGAUGAAACCUGAUGUCACCAACCUUGGCUAAACACAAAUGAGAGCUUCCCUCAGGCUCCCUGAAACAGCUAGGCCCAAAUCACAAGUACAG